rnacentral:lncRNA from 1 species
AGCAGAGACUACGCAGACCCUGGACAGACAAGGCUGCUAAGAUGUGCUGUGCCAACAGUUUCCAUCUUUGGUGAUGGGCAGACACACGUUGAAAGUCCAGGCUCUCCUAGGCCCGCGAAUACCACUGCAAUGCCCGCUCACAGCGCCGAUGAAGAAGUUCAACAGACUGAGCCCUCAUGUUCCAAUCCAGCGGGUCGACAACACAAGCCUUCUAGGUGCUCGCCCCGGACAGCCAGAAAAAUGAAGAACCUGGAGAAGAUAAAUUCAAGGCUUCGGAAGGCACUGUCAAGAAUUGGCAAGAGAAAGGUUAAAAAGCUUUCCCAGUC